rnacentral:rRNA from 1 species
UGAUCGAAAGAUGAAAAGCACUUUGAAAAGAGAGUUAAAAAGCACGUGAAAUUGUUGAAAGGGAAGCGCUUGCGACCAGACUCGCUCGCGAGGUUCAGCCGGCAUUCGUGUCGGUGUACUUCCCCGCGAGCGGGCCAACGUCGGUUUGGGCGGUCAGUCAAAGGCCCCUGGAAGGUAACGCCCCCUCGGGGGCGUCUUAUAGCCAGGGGUGCAAUGUGGCCUGCCUGGACCGAGGAACGCGUUUCGGCUCGGACGUUGGCAUAAUGGUCGUAAGCGACCCGUCUUGAAACACGGACCAAGGAGUCUAACAUCUACGCGAGUGUUCGGGUGUCAAACCCGUGCGCGAAGUGAAAGCGAACGGAGGUGGGAACCCGCAAGGGUGCACCAUCGACCGAUCCUGAAGUCUUUGGAUGGAUUUGAGUAAGAGCGUAGCUGUUGGGACCCGAAAGAUGGUGAACUAUGCCUGAAUAGGGCGAAGCCAGAGGAAACUCUGGUGGAGGCUCGUAGCGGUUCUGACGUGCAAAUCGAUCGUAGAAUUUGAGUAUAGGGCGAAAGUCUAUC